GCUACACAGAAGAGACUAUCAGGAGAAGGAUGCAGCUUUAAAGAGUUAAUUGAUAAGCGCAACAAAACAAAAGAUUUUUCUUACAUCAGGAAAACUUGAGAAGUCAUCCAAUUUUACUGAAGCAUGCUACUAUGGAAAAGAAGCAAUUCUUCUGCUGAGAGAAGCUAGAUUACUUUAAAGUCUACAAAGGACUGAUCUACAAAGGGGGAAAAGCAAAGGAUAUGCACCAUGUCAUCCUAGGCAAGAUAGUUCUGAGCUGGGUGAAACUGACUGCAAAGAAUUCACGUCACUAGUUGGUGUGAAGGUAAUGGUUUUGAGAGAUCAUGUAGCAUUUUGUUGUCCACAAUGAGACAAUCUGUUUCAAAAUUCCUUAGAAAAGAACCCUGCAACAGAGUAAGCAUUUUAUCAACACAACAACAGAUACUUUGCAACUUGACUUUAAGUGUUCUACUUCAGAUACCACAGAGAGCACAACACAUCAUUUUCCCAAGGUCUCAGAAAAGAUAAAAGAUAUUCACUGAAAACCUUUGUAUCGGAAGGUUUGAUUAUCUGCUUCUUGCUUAGAAAUAAUAAGCAGCAAUACACAGAAGUCUGCAGUUCACAGUAUUGCAAAAGGCUUGCUUCCCUUUAGGGCCAACUAGCAGAAGCAACAUUUAAGUGCAAACAAAAUGGACAGAUACAUACAUACAUACACAGACACUACACACAUAUAUACACACUUCAGAUCAUUUAGGGAAACAAGGUUAAGCAGCAGAUUUCAGUAAGGCUGUGACAAAUGGCAACGAAUAAACUUUCAUUCCAGUAAGGGCACUAAUUCCUGCUGGUGGUACUCCUGCCUAUUUACCUGUUAUAGUUUCUGGAUGUCUCCCAGAACUGAAGUGUGUGGGAGAAAAAUGAACAAACAAAACCACCAAAUCGA